rnacentral:rRNA from 1 species
UACGUAGGGACCAAGCGUUGUUCGGAUUUACUGGGCGUAAAGGGCGCGUAGGCGGCGCGGUAAGUCACUUGUGAAAUCUCUGAGCUUAACUCAGAACGGUCAAGUGAUACUGCUGUGCUAGAGUGCGGAAGGGGCAAUCGGAAUUCUCGGUGUAGCGGUGAAAUGCGUAGAUAUCGAGAGGAACACCAGUGGCGAAGGCGAGUCCCUGGACAACACCUGACACUGAGGCACGAAAGCUAGGGGAGCAAACAGG